rnacentral:rRNA from 1 species
GUCUACUGCCAUGCCACCCUGAACAAGCCUAAUGUCUGAUCUUGGAAGCUAAGCAGGGUCGGGCCUGGUUAGUACUUGGAUGGGAAACCACCUAGGUAGACCAGGUUCUGUAAGCA